rnacentral:rRNA from 1 species
AGAGUUUGAUCCUGGCUCAGGAUGAACGCUAGCUACAGGCUUAACACAUGCAAGUCGAGGGGCAGCAUGAACUUAGCUUGCUAAGUUUGAUGGCGACCGGCGCACGGGUGAGUAACACGUAUCCAACCUGCCGAUGACUCGGGGAUAGCCUUUCGAAAGAAAGAUUAAUACCCGAUGGCAUAAUUCUUCCGCAUGGUAGAAUUAUUAAAGAAUUUCGGUCAUCGAUGGGGAUGCGUUCCAUUAGGUUGUUGGCGGGGUAACGGCCCACCAAGCCUUCGAUGGAUAGGGGUUCUGAGAGGAAGGUCCCCCACAUUGGAACUGAGACACGGUCCAAACUCCUACGGGAGGCAGCAGUGAGGAAUAUUGGUCAAUGGACGAGAGUCUGAACCAGCCAAGUAGCGUGAAGGAUGACUGCCCUAUGGGUUGUAAACUUCUUUUAUACGGGAAUAAAGUGAGGCACGUGUGCCUUUUUGUAUGUACCGUAUGAAUAAGGAUCGGCUAACUCCGUGCCAGCAGCCGCGGUAAUACGGAGGAUCCGAGCGUUAUCCGGAUUUAUUGGGUUUAAAGGGAGCGUAGGCGGACGCUUAAGUCAGUUGUGAAAGUUUGCGGCUCAACCGUAAAAUUGCAGUUGAUACUGGGUGUCUUGAGUACAGUAGAGGCAGGCGGAAUUCGUGGUGUAGCGGUGAAAUGCUUAGAUAUCACGAAGAACUCCGAUUGCGAACGCAGCCUGCUGGACUGUAACUGACGCUGAUGCUCGAAAGUGUGGGUAUCAAACAGGAUUAGAUACCC